GUAUUCAAGACCCAACAAAAUUAUUCUCAGCCUUCUGUCUAAUAAGACUCCUGGGAUCCCUAAUGAUGAUAGUUUUCAGAGGGGAAAUGUGAAUCAUCUUUUUUUGUUAGAAGAUGAGGAAAAUGGAAUCUACGGAAGUUAAGUGACUUGUUCAAGGUCACAGAGUACAAGAUAUAGCAUAGCAAGUAGCUCAGAAGCAAAUCAAUGGAUGAAGGAUCUAUGAGUUUCAAGAUAAAACAACAUUGACAAUCUCUAUCAAUUGUGGAGGAAACCCCUAAGAUAUGAAACAAGAACUACAAUGCUGGAAGCCAGGAUUCCACUUACUGAUUAGAGAAGUUCCCAUCCAAGGAGACUGGGAGAGGAGAAAUAGAAAACCAAAGGAAAGAUAAAGCACAUAAACAGAGACACUCACUUGUCAAAUGCUGAUUCAGGUAAGAUCUCCCCUGUGAGUCCACUGGAUCAGAGAGAGAAAUGAAAACAGACUGACAGUUGCUUUGGAGUUUCCAAGAAUCUCAGCCCUUCUUUUCAUAUCUUUCUCUGAGGAGGAUAGAUCUAACAUAUGGUCCUGGCAUUGCUUAGUUACACAUUUCUUUGCUACUUCACUUAACAUUUCAUUUAUUUGUCAUUUCUAAUAUUUAACUUGAAUUAUUCUUCUUUUCCCAUCUUUCAAAUUGACUGAUAGCAUGAAUUUUGAUCUUUGAAAAAAAAAUUCCAUGCUUGAAGAGGAGAAGAAUGAGGUUCUCAUCAGUAAACCUCUUGGAAAGAAUCUGACAUGUUCUUUAGGGGAUGAUUGGCCACCCAUACAACUGAAGCAUAGAGGGAGAACUUACUUAAGUCUGCACUAUUUGAUUAACAUGUAGAAGCUAAGAUCUACUGACAAAUUCAAUUAUACAUUCAAAUUAUGUUUCCAAUUGGGCUUAAUUUUUUAAAGUGAUGAAUGAACCAUAGGAAAGAAAUCCUGUUGGGAAAAGAAAGAUUAGUGAGGAGCCCAUCCAUUUGUUGUUGGUUUGUACUCACACAUGCAUACAUAUACUUAGACCCCUUUCCUUUUCACUUGGAUUUUAUGCAUGGAAGAAUAAAAUGAAAAUAUAUGUAUGUGUAUAAAUAUGUAUAUGCAUGUGUAUACACACAUAUAUAUUUAUAUAUGUAUAAACAAAUGUUCAUUUAUGUAUAUAAAGUGUCCAACUCGGUGUUUUGCAUACAGAAAGACUCAAUAAAUCACUGUUGAAUUGAACUGAUAUAUUGACAUAUAUGCUAGCUGUGUGACCUUAGGCUUUGUGAUUUCACUUCCUCUUUUUCAAGGACUUGGGUUGCUCAUCUAUCAAAUGAAAGCAUUGAACAAAAGGAUACCUAAGGUCUCUUCUAGCUUGAAAUCCUAUGACUCUAAGCCUAAGGUAGGAGUGAACCUCCAAGGUACAUUUUAGCUUUAUCAUUGUGAUUUUUCUGCCCUUUCUGCCAGCAAUGCUAUAUCUAGUUUUGCUUUAUAUAAAGGGGACCACUUUGCUUAGGGUCUUUUGAGGCCAUAAGGGAAGGAAUACAGCUUGAGAUGCCCUCCUAAGUUUUCUCUAGCAGUUUUUCUCCCACAGGAAAAGUGAACAAUUUUGGCUAAAGAAAGACAUAAACAAAACAAAACAAAAAAUGCAUAUGCCCUAGGGAAAUGACUCUAGAAGUAUUUGUAUCUUUUGGAUCUGGCUUGUGCCAGGGAGGAGUCUCUGCUGAUUGAAGAAAAAAAAAAGACAUUUUUGAGCUCUGAUUCCUGUACAAUGGCAUAGUGAUAGGCGACAUGUUGCUUACACAUUUACCUCCUCUGGAGACUUAAUGUACCAGAUAGUUAUAAGAGAAGAAAUAUCUCUCAUAUUAACUUAUAUUAAUGCCUGAACUCUUUUUAGUGGCAUUAGAUAUUUGAGUACAAAAAUCCUAUUUUUAUGGAAUGGGUUGGGACUAAAACUGUUACAUAAAAAUGGAUUUUUUUGAAAAAUGGAAAUUAACAAUUUACCCUAAGAAUUUCAUUGGAAAAAGCAUUCUGUCCCAUUUGAGUAAUGAUAGAAGAUAAAACAUGGCAGUGCUUCAUCCCUUUCCCUUUAUUAAUGAAUUAGGAUACACAAGAACUCAAUAAAAAUUACAUAAAAGACCCACUGCAAUCAUUCAGGUGUUCUUUGCCAGUCAGUAACUUUCAUUUCAUAAAAUGAGUACUUCUGUUCAAACAAAAUUAUAUAAAAUUGGGAUUUAACUAUAAUGCUAAAUUGCAUUUUAUUCUGUUUCUUAGUAGCAAAUUUCAUUUUUUCCCUCAUAGUUAAGAUUCCUUGAACUGACCCAGAAAUAAGUAGUUAUUGGGUAUCCAUCUCAAACAGGUAAUGUGGAGAGAUAUAACUGUCUGGAAAGUAUUAAGAUAUUAUUGGUUAAGACUAUAAAAGUAUAAAGCUAUAUACUUAAUAAAUGCUUGUAUUUCAGAUAACAAACAUAAAUUAAGUGCUUAUGAUGUGCCAGGCACAGUGGAUAGCAAAAAAAAAAAAGUGAAAAAAACCCAUGGUCACUUCUCUUACAGAGUUCAUAUUCUAGUGGAAGAAAUAACAUUCAAAUUAAUAUGAACAUAUAAGAAAUAGUGCAAAAAAAAUGUAAUCCCAGUGGGAAGGCACUACUAGGAGGAGGAGGGAGGCAGUAACCUGGCAAAGCCUCUUGUAGAUGACAUAUGAGGUAAAUUUUGAAGGAAGCUGUAAAGAGAAUAAUCCAGGCUUGGGAUAUAGUCAUACCAAAGUCCCAGUGUAAGGAAAUGGAGUAUUGUGUGAGAGGAAAAGUAGAGUCAUGUAACUGGAUGUGAGAUUAUUUGGAAGAGAGUCAAGUAAAAGAAGACUGAAAAGAAAGGAAGGGCCUAGGUGGUGAAAAGGGUUUUAAAUGCCAAAAGAAGGACUUUAUUUUUGAUUCUAUAAGUAACUGGAAACCCCUAGAGUUUAUUAUGGCAUAAUCAGAUUUGUGCUUUAGAAAAAUCCCUGUGGCAACUGUGUGAAGGAUGGAUUGGAGUGGGGAGAGGUUUGGGACCAAGAAGGAUAAGGAUAUGAACUUAUAAUAUGAUUUUGUAACAUUUAUUAAAUAAAAUGGUGACCCUUCAUGCCCUUCUUCCAUUUUAAGUAAUGCUUCAAUUCAUAAAAUAAAUAUAAUCUUGAUUGGUGAACUUUUUUUGUCAUUCAGGUUUAUCUUGCAACCAUUCCUGAAAAGCUGAUCUUCAGAAUUCCAGGAAGUUAGGAUAGACAGUAGAUAAGGUAUUGAAUUUGGUGCUAGAAAAGCUGAAUUCAAAUCCUACCUCAGUCACUACCUUCCUGACAGGAGUCAAGUCACCUUUCCUGAGAAACUCUGAAACUCUGAACUCAAUUUCCUCAUUUGUAAAGUGAGGAAUAAUAGCAUAUACCUGAUAGGGUAAUUGUGAGGAUGAAAUGAGAUAAUCUACAUAAAAUUGUAUGAAAAGUACUGUAUAAAUGUGAGCUAUUACUAUUAGACAUUAUAACUCUAUUUGCCUCUCUGUUCCUCCAUCUGAAACCAAAGCAGGAUCAGAGAGAUAUCCUUUUUCUUCCAGAAUUU